rnacentral:lncRNA from 1 species
CCCGACUCGCCCGACUCGUACAUUUGAAUAACCGGACAAGUAAUUAUUUUUGUCUUGGUUGCCCGUGGACAAGUAAAAAAAUAUACAAGACAAAGUUCAAAUCCACAAAAAACAUAAAAUUAAUUUCAAAACAUAUAAAGAUGUAUAAAGAUGGUUAAUUUAUGUAAAAGAAACCAAUGUUCAGCAAGUAAAAACAUCAAUGUUCAUGUUGAUAAAUAUUACAGGACCAAUUUACUUGAUACCGGAAAUAGACCGAUUACCAAAAUAAAUAAAAAUAAGUAUGAGAACUGAGUGCGAUUUACAUUGCA